UACGGGGGGGGCAAGCGUUGUUCGGAAUUACUGGGCGUAAAGGGCUCGUAGGUGGCCAACUAAGUCAGACGUGAAAUCCUCAGGCUCAACUUGGGAACUGCGUCUGAUACUGGAUGGCUUGAAUUCGGGAGAGGGAUGCAGAAUUCCCGGUGUAGCGGUGAAAUGCGUAGAGAUCGGGAGGAACACCAGCGGCGAAGGCGGCGACCUGGACAGGUACUGACACUCAACUACGAAAGCGUGGGGAGCAAACAGG
rnacentral:rRNA from 1 species